rnacentral:rRNA from 1 species
UAGGGAAUAUUAGAAAUGGACGAAAGUCUGAUCUAGCAACACCGCGUGUGCGAAGAAGGCCUUCGGGUUGUAAAGCACUUUUUGGAAGGAAUAGGAAGGAAUGUACUUCCAGAAUAAGUCUCGGCUAACUACGUGCCAGCAACCGCGGUAACACGUAGGAGGCAAACGUUAUCCGGAUUUACUGGGCGUAAAGCGCGUGUAGGUGGUACUGUAAGUAGGGCGUGAAAGCUCCUGGCUCAACUGGGAGAGGCCGUUCUAAACUACAGAACUAGAGGAUGGUAGAGGGAGGUGGAAUUCCAGGUGUAGCGGUGGAAUGCGCAGAUAUCUGGAGGAACACCGGUGGCGAAGGCGGCCUCCUGGACCAUUCCUGACACUCAGACGCGAAAGCUAGGGUAGCAAACG